rnacentral:lncRNA from 10 species
GGCUCGCGCACGAUGCACGCACCCACUGACCUGCGCCCACUGUCUGGCACUCCCUAGUGAGAUGAACCUGGUACCUCAGAUGGAAAUGCAGAAAUCACCCGUCUUCUGCGUUGCUCACGCUGGGAGCUGUAGACCAGAGCUGUUCCUAUUCGGCCUUCUUGGCUCCUUCCCUGGGCUCUUUUAUAUUGCUGGCAAAAUAGUGACUCCCCGUGGAACAGAGUUGUUGUUCAGCAGAAAUAAUCAAGAGUUGACAUCAUACCAGACCUCGGGACUCAACAAUAAACCAGACCAGUAUGGCUCUAUCUUCAUGAAGAACAUACACAAUAAUUCAGGACUCACAGAAGUCGAUGAGCAGAACACAGAAGACUCAACCUGAAGAAAUUCCAUAUACGUGCUACUCCUGUAGGCACAAGCAAGAAAAAAUAUUCAAGGAUAAGAGUUUCAUGAGAGUAGAAGUCUUAAUCCAUGAACCUGGAAAAAGAUAUUCACAUCAAGGAUGGCACCCUUCUCCUGGGAGAAACCUCCCUGGGUAAUACUGAUCUCAUAUUGUGAAUUGUUUGAGAUUUGAAGAAUGGAUUAAAGAGAAAAUGAUUGUGCCCGUAGACCAAUGAAGAGACUGUUGCAAUAACUCAGUGCAACUGCCACCAAAAUGUAAAAUUUUCAUAAAAAUCCUU